UGCUUGGGCAGGUUCCAGGGCAGCGUGUCCCCCGGUGCCGGCGACCCCGUGCCCGACUUCUGGCUGAGGUCUUCCUCCUCGGAGAGAUCGGCGGAGGACGACAUGGAGCAGCGUUUUCCAAUAUGAAUUGCAAGACUUAACCCUGAAGGAAUGUACCUACAUUUGUGGAAGCAAACAAAGUUACUGAAGAUUUCUUAGAAGCGAAAAUAAGAAUUUCAGCUCUGAGCAUCUGGGAAACUACAGUAUGCAGAGUUGGCACACACAAACCAAAGACUGUCAGAAGUACAGCUGCCAGGCCACUGCUCCACCACCACAGACUGACCACGCAAACCCCAUCCUCGCAGCUCUUACCUCCCAUCUGAGGACACCUAUCAUCCUCGCUGAGAAGCUGAACAGGAUACUUCCAGCAUGGAGAUUUGUGGACAAAGCUGAUCUCUCUGCCUAAUAGUCACUUGCCACAGUUGCAGACUGAUUGCAAUGUGGGCAGGAAGCAUGGAAAGCAAGGGCAGGCAGGCAGCAGACCUGAUGGGCAGGAGAGAACUGUUUUUUUUAUAUGCUCCUGGUGAUUUGCUCGGCCGUGCUUAGCUAGGAAGAGGAAAAAGCCAUAUGAUCUGAAUGCAGAGAGGACAAACACCGGAACCAGGAUGCUGAAGGAAAGGGCAGGAGAAAUACAGCUGGACUGACAGCCUGAGGGACAAACACAGAGACUGGCUGAGCCCGGAAAUACAAUCUGGGGGCUGGAGCUGAAGAGACAAAGCGUUUAAGGGCUCAACAGCCUGCAUAAAGACUAGAGGAUAUACAGAGCUGCAGGACAACAGCUGGGACAAGUGACUGUGCUGGAAAGAGUGGACCAAGGGAGAAUCAAGGAUCUGAUGAGCUGUUGUGAAACUGGUAGUGCCUCAGCAAAAGGCUCUGAAUGGGGUUACGUGAUGAACAAGGCAGACAGGAACUGAGGAGACAGUCUCCAAGAAGAGAUACAAACAGGAGCCAAGGAAGGUAAAAAGGGGGCCUCAGGGAGACACAGAAAUUGAAGAGCUGGUUAGACAAGUACCUCUGAGCACCAAGGUAACUGAGCCUGGGGCUGGAUUCACAGGGAUUGAGACACAGGAAUGACACAAGGACUAACAGCAAGAGCAGGAGGGCUGGGGUCAGCAGAGGAGCAAGUGGUGGGAAGCAUGGCUGAGCAGGCAGAAGAAAGGAGCCAGCAGCAGGAUGGAGGAAGGCCAGGAGCAGGCUGGAAGGAAUAGGCCAAAAGUAGUAAAGCUUAAGGAGAAUGUGCACAAAAAAGCACAUUCCCCUGGAGAGCCUGUAGGAAACUGCAGGGAACUCCACCAACAGCAAAUAUCUGAAAGUUCCUCUAGAAAAUUAACUCUUCCCCUGUAUUAUUGAUUCUCAUGGAGGAAUACAAAUACUGUCAAUCUCCGAGUUUCAAUAACAGAAAUUUCUCUGGCAUAGUUCAAGUGACAAAACCUGCUCAUGAGCCACACAACAGGGCUUUCUUUUUAAGUAAAUUAUUUUCAACAGUAAAAUCUUUUAACACCAGGUUCCUGCUAAAGUACUGUUCUUAAGGUUGCAAAAUCAAGCAGUAAGAUGCUACUAAAUCCCUCAAUCCCCUUAAUUCAGCCUUUUUAUUUCCACAUCAUGAUGCAGUCAUAACAAUCUGGCCAUACACUAUUGCAUCCACAAUCUCUAGCCCGUUUAGUGCAAGUGAUGGGUGGUAUUCACUCCAUGAAUAGUUGCUCAGUAUUUGGUUUUGCCAUACGCUUUUCAGUGGGCAGCCCCAGAACUUUUCUUUAUGCUGCUGAAAUAAUGAUGUGAAGAAAAAAUUAUUUUGCAGACUGUUUUGUGGCGCUCUUCACUACAGUGAAUCUAACUGCGUGGUAUCUUCGCAAUUAAUGAUGAUCUUUUGAAUUAUACAGGGGACAAACUGAAACCAAUAGAUCAAUUUUGGUACCUGAGGUCAAACUAGGGACAGGGAUCUCAUUUUUAAGAGUUACUAGAAUCAUGCAUUAGUAAUACUCAGAGCCUGGACACGUGGAGUUCCAUGCUGAGUGGCAGUUUGAGAACUUUAAUAAACCUAACUACAUGCUGUAAGUCAGGCAAUUGGAAAAUGGAGGAUAAAGUGUUUUAAGCCAGUCGAUCGGCAAGUUCACAGUGACCUUGUGCCCAUCAUUCUUCAAGGCAGCACUGACUGCUUUUUAUAGAAAUAAAAGAUCCUUUCUUCUCUUGCAAUCUCCUGUUUUAUUCAUUUACACACUCUACAACUUCUGCAGUAAGACUCCCACACAUAAGAGUCAUCUCAAGAGCACUUCCAUCCUACAAUGGAUGUACAGAGUACAUCCUGAAAUAAAGAGUGUGCCAGCAUACAUUUACAGUCUAUAUGGCAAUGUAGAUGCAUAGUCAACUGAAGUAAAGCUGCACAUGUAACAUUAAUUCCAGCAUUUCCUAACAUUUGAAUACCUGCCUUUGUCAGCCUGUUCUUUUAACGUAAUACCAGGUGCAAUGCUCUAUAUAAAUACUAAUGGAUAAUGGAGUCCCUUGCUAUAUAAAGAUGAACUGUUUAUGUGCUACAGUAGGAUGUUAUACAAUACAACUCUGAAGACUGACUCCUGAGGAAGAGGAAACAUCUGCAUUUAGAGUAUAAUUACUAGGCAUCUGAGAGACAAUUACUGGUCAUUUUAAGCUGUGCAAACAACACCACUGCAACAGAAUCAUAGCUGAUUAAUGAUGUUUUAACCUGCCUUCUGCUACUGUACAGAAAAUCACUAGAAAAACAAUAAUCAUUUUAAAUCUCAAAUCAAGUUCUUAGCACUGUAUUUUUGUAUUUUAACCAAAAAAUAUUUUUAAAUUUGUAAAGACAUCACCUCUAUGACCUACAAGUAAGAAACCCUCAAGAAAUCUCUUCAAAGUCCUAAACUACCUAGGAGCUGGGCAACAGGAACAGAAGAAAUGGGCAACUUCUAGCACGCAACAGAUGAGCUGCAGGGUGAAGCUAAAAGGAAGUCAGGAGCAAGCAACAAGGGAGGAGGUCACAGAAACUAACAGAAAAGUGGGAAAGAGUCUUUGUGCAAAACUGCUUCAAAAGGGUUUAUGAGGGGAUUUAUCUGCUUUAAGAAAAACAGUGAAACAUAGAAGUCCAAGAAACAGGUGCAAACAGUCCCUUGGUGGGCAUUUGUGUGUUUGGAAAGGGAGAGAGCCCCUUUGAAGUCAACCUAAUGUCCACUGAAGGCUCUCAUUUAUUUUGAAGGCAACAAAUGCAACUUACACAGAACAGGCACCUAGAGAUAUUUUUCAAGAUGCUAAGAUGCUUCAAACUUGUUAAAAUUUUUUAUAAGUUAAUCACUUAAUAAACCCUCUCCAGUUCUUCUUAAAAUCAAUAUCAAUAUUCUUUAGAUACUGAAGCAAAAACUACACACAUUGUUUCCCUUUUUUAAUGUUCAUUCACAUGUUCUUUGCAUUCAUGCGUUCCCUGCAUUUCUUCACUGUGGCUCUAUUCAUCCUGAGAGUGAAUGUGUGCUUCAUGUGCUCAAAGAUUUGUCACACGUUCUGAGAGCAUUAAUAGAAUGUUAAAAAAUGCUGAAGAUGAAAGAAGACUUGGUUGUGCUUUGCCAUAUCUGCUUCUAAAUGUGAUUCACAAGAGACGCAACCCAACCCAUGGAGAUGUCUCCAAAAGAAAGCUAUGUAACCUGUAGAUGAAAUAGCUAAUAGUUGGAAUUAACCAGAUCUUGUGCAAUGUGAUGAGUAAUUUUUGUAUGUCAUCUCAAUUGGGUCACUCAAAAUAUCAAGUAAAGUACAUCUUGAUAUUGGAAAAACAGUAAAUAGCAUUAGAUAAAGAAAAAAAUGGAAAUUAUGUCAUGAGACUUUAAAAAAAAAAACACUUAAAAAGGCCUUCAAAAUAAUUUUUUCACAGGAAAUACUUCAUGUGAAGUAACACAAGUAUCAACUAAUACCUAGACCUCUGUUACUGAUCUGGUAUCAAACAUUUUUAAAAUCAUAUAUUUUUCUUCUGGAAUUGUAAUAGUUUCUUUUUUUUUCCCCCUCAUAAAUAAAGGUUAAAAUACAUAAAAGCAAAAACCAGGAUAGCUGAAUAAUACUGGAUGGUGUUGCUCAUGGUCUUAAAUGCAUUAUAAACUGAUUAACUUUGCUUUCCAGUCUGCGUCAUCAGACUCUUUACAGUGUAAGCUUCACCUCAGUCACAGGAGUCUCAGUGGAGCCAAACAAGGCUGCUUACAUCAGUAGACUUUUAACACAUGCACCUGAAAGUGAAGGAACAAGGCUUACUUACAGCCUCUGUAGUCUCACCUGCCGCUUGAAGAGAUGCUGCCAUGACAAAUGCAAGUGUAAAUUUUGAUAGGCAUCAUCUUAAACAACCUGGGUGCUCGAAUGAGUCAGGUGAUUCAGAAGCACUUCAAAUGGUUUAACAAUGAAGAUAUCAAAAGGUGCUGCUUUGAGAGCAUCUCCUUUCAGCUAUGCAUUUAAACACACAGGAUAGAACUGUCAGAAUUGUAUGCCUAACUGAGUCCACAGCACAGAAGCUAGGCACAUCUACACUAACUCAAGGUUAUCACCUGGUUCCAGGCCAUCACAGACAAACAAACUUAAUAAUUUACAGAGUGGUAUAAUCUUGCUUUAGAUUAGACCACAAUGAAAAACACAGAUAAUAUUUGCAAAACACUUGUCAUAAAAGUCUUCCAUUUGCACAGAUUAAAACUCGCCCUGGAGAAAUCUCUCUUGACAGCAGCAAACUCAUAAAAGGCUCCUUUUUGCAAAAAAUUCCCUUUUGCAGAAAAUUGAACUACUAUUCAGAAUGAGCCAUCUGAUUCUUGAAAGGAGAUACAUAGGGCUCCUUUGACUUGUGUGAAGUCAUGCUAAUUUAAAGAACACAGUCCUGCUUCUCAGAGGUUCUCCAUUGUGUUCAAAAAUUCAAAGCACACUUUGGUAAUAGGUAUCCAUGCUCUUGGUGUGAAGAGGGCCUUGAACUGUGACUGUACAGAACAGCUCAAAUAACACAACUACCAAUGAGAAGACCUACAGGGCACAAUAUUGAACAUUGUCAUAAAAGAGGUAAACUGCACAAUAUUAUGCUGAUGUUUCACUGCAAGAGGAUGAAUAAAAUCAAGUGUUAAAGGAUAUUAACUAUUUCUUGUAAAGAUCAGCAUUAAGACAAAGUAUACGAAAGUAUUAAAAUCAAAAGAAACUGAUGUUCUAUUUCUGCAAACAUCUGCUCAUGGAGAUUUUCAAAGAGAAAACUAUUCAGGAAUGUUAUUCCCAAACAUACACCUAAUUUAGUUUUGACAUGAUACUCGAAAGAUCUCAGUUUACUAUGAAGUGAGUGAGAAAUAAGCCAAGCAAAUGGAGAUAAUUUUGGGUAUGUCCAGGAAAAUGAAAAAAACAUAUUUACAUGCAAUAAUGUCAACUAAAUACAAGAUGAGCCAAAGCAGCAGGAAGCUUAGCAUUUAAACUUCAAAUAAAAAUUUUAAAGAAAUACGUGAAAAGUGUUUAUUAUGUUAUUAUAAGUGUUACUGUAUC